rnacentral:rRNA from 1 species
UACGGAGGGUGCAAGCAGUAAUCGGAUUUAUUGGGCGUAAAGAGCACGUAGGCGGAUAAGCCAGUCAGAUGUGAAAUCCCGAGGCUCAACCUCGGACCCGCAUUUGAUACUACUUAUCUUGAGGGUAGGCGGAGAAAAUGGAAUUCCACAUGUAGCGGUGAAAUGCGUAGAUAUGUGGAGGAACACCCGUGGCGAAAGCGAUUUUCUAGCUUAUUCCUGACGCUGAGGUGCGAGAGCAAGGGGAGCAAACAGG